rnacentral:tRNA from 1 species
GCCCGGGUGGUGAAAUGGCAGACACAGGGGCCUUAAAAGCCUCUUCCCUGAGGGGAGUGCCGGUUCGAGUCCGGCCCCGGGCACCA